rnacentral:misc_RNA from 1 species
AAAGUCGUAACAAGGUUUCCGUAGGUGAACAUCUCUUCCAGGUUCGCCAGAAUAGAAAGUCUGUAUUUAGCAGGCAACACCUCCACUGUGCUGGGAUUUACAUUUGUAAUACCAGCAGCCUAGCAAUAGGCUCACAGGUCAAAUGGAGGUGGCCCAGUAGGGUUAAGAUAUGAUCGGGAGGCUGCUAGAAAUUGCUGCUAUACUUCCGCUGCGGAAGGAUCAUUACAGAGAAAUUGCCCUCCGGGGUAGAUCUCCCACCCUUUGUUUAUAUUACCUUUGUUGCUUUGGCAGGCCCGUCUAAUGACCACUGGCCUAGGCUGGUUCGUGCCUGCCAGAGGACCCUAAACUCUUGAUUUUUAUAUUGUCCGAGUCACAAACAAAUAAGUUAAAACUUUCAACAACGGAUCUCUUGGUUCUG